UGUGUCCUACGGGGGGCAGCAGUAGGGAAUUUUCGUCAAUGGGCGCAAGCCUGAACGAGCAAUGCCGCGUGAACGAGGAAGGUCUUCGGAUCGUAAAGUUCUGUUGAAGGGGAAAAAGAGCGGAGAGAGGAAAUGGUCUCCGAUUGAUAUUACCCUUCGAGGAAGUCACGGCUAACUACGUGCCAGCAGCCGCGGUAAUACGUAGGUGUCGAGCGUUAUCCGGAUUUAUUGGGUUUAAAGGGUGCGUAGGCGGUCCGUUAAGUCAGCGGUAAAAUUGCGGGGCUCAACCCCGUCGAGCCGUUGAA
rnacentral:rRNA from 1 species